rnacentral:lncRNA from 1 species
AAAUGUUGUUUUCUCACAUGGAUGGAUGAUAUUAGUGAAAGGUAAAAUAAGGUUAUUGCGCUGUUAAAAUUGGACGUGUAAUGGGAGCACCCACCAUAAUCGAAAAACACAUUGUCCUUCGAGCAGUGUUGAAAGUAGAGAGCUCCUCUAAAUAAACACAAAAAAGUUUAGAGAUACAAGUGAAAAUGUCAAGGCAUAUGCUUGCUCACCUAGUGGGUGUUCCCAAC